rnacentral:rRNA from 1 species
AGCUCUUAAAUCCACAACACACCGUGGUGAACCCACCGCUAGGCCUUCGGGCUUAUGUAUCAUAUACUCUGAAUGUGUCAUAGAAUGUUCAUGUUGCCUUAAAACGCAAUCAAAUACAACUUUCAACAACGGAUCUCUUGGCUCUCGCAUCGAUGAAGAACGCAGCGAAAUGCGAUAAGUAAUGUGAAUUGCAGAUUUUCAGUGAAUCAUCGAAUCUUUGAACGCACCUUGCGCUCCUUGGUAUUCCGAGGAGCAUGCCUGUUUGAGUGUCAUUAAAUUCUCAACCCCACCGAUUUGCUUCGGGGGGAUUGGACUUGGAGCGUGCUGGCGAAGGUCGGCUCCUCUUUAAAUGCAUCAGUGGAGAGAAACUUGCCCCAGUGUGAUAAUCCUGUUGCGCUGUGGUGGGUGAAAGUCUGCUUCCAACCGUCCCUCCGGGGACAUAUGUCAUCUUAUUUUGACCUCAAAUCAGGUAGGACUACCCGCUGAACUUAAGCAUAUCAAUAAGCGGAGGAAGGUG